rnacentral:lncRNA from 1 species
GAGUACAUUAGACUAAAGUAGGGUACAACACAGUACACUAUACGUUGCUUUUAUUUACUUUACCAUAGUCUAGUGUGCUCUACUGUAUUGUGCUGUACUCUACUUUACUGUACUGUACUAUACUAUACUUUUUUUUACACUACUGUGUACUCUAAUGUACUUUACUCUGCUGUGCUCUACUGUACUGAGCUGUCCAAACUUCUGAAACACCAAAUCUGAACCAAUUAUAGAUGUUUGGGCUAAAUCAAGGCUGGACUGGACUGGACCAAAUCUCAGCGUCUAUGUUUGGGCCAAAUAUAGGCCGGUCUGGACCGGACGUCGGUGGACGUCUAGGAUUGGUUUAGAUUUGGUCCAGACCAGACCAAAAAUCAACGUCAGUGGACGCUGAAAUCAAGAACACUCCUGACCGCAAAAACAAGACGUCCUAAAAACGUAGCCUGACGUCAAAUGCUUAGUGGGUGGUUCAUACUCCUCCAACCCAGCACAUUUAUGAAAUCAUGUAGUGGUUAACCAAGACGUGUUUUUAAAGAAGAUGACUGAUGUUUAGAGUAUACUAUAAACUGAACUAGCUCUGAGAAUAUUUUCCCAAUGAAAGGUUUACUAGUUCCACUGGUGUUGCUGCUCUGUCAGUUAGGAGCACCUGAGAGCUUUCUAAGUGAAGACGCAUCCUCGGGCAAAAAGACAGCACUCCAACCUGACAUCUGGUCUGAGCUGAGAGAUCUGAGAGACAUGGUGGUGCUGCAGAGAGCAGAGCUGAGCCGCACCAUGGCUGAACUACGAGAUACUAAGAACCAGAUGGAGGGGCUAAAAACAGAGAUCUCAGUCAUGGAGUCCAGGCUGAUGAGUUCUGAAGGACAACUUGAGGCAAUGAAGACAGACAUGCAGCCAUAGUGAGCAGAGUAACAUCCGCUGAGAGUGAGGUUGAGAGACUACAGAAGGAGAAUGCAGAGAGACCUAAGGUCGCAUUUUCAACCUCUUUUGGAAAAACUGGACAGCAUGGGCCAUUCCACACUGCCACCACCGUGGUCUUCCAGAAUAUAUUCUCAAACACUGGCAACCACUACAACCAAGCUACAGACAGCCCUUACAGAAUUACCCACCAACAAAGGACCAAGCAGCGGAAGAAGGCUGGCGAGGUAAGGGAAACCGGGAGGCACCCCCAAGACAUUUUUAGGGGGGGGCACAAGGGGAGUUUUGCGGGGCAAGAAUGGAGCCCCAGGCCAGCUCCCCGCACUAGCAUGGAGGUGCGUGUUCGCAAUCUGGUACGCCCAGCACCAGCACCACGCACCAGGAGUCUAGUGUGUCAACCCAGCCUCGCCAGUCAACAGUCGUCAUCAGAGCUGCCCGCCAGUCAACAGUCGUCAUCAGAGCUGCCCGCCAGUCAACAGUCGUCAUCAGAGCUGCCCGCCAGUCAACAGUCGUCAUCAGAGCUGCCCGCCAGUCAACAGUCGUCAUCAGAGCUGCCCGCCAGUCAACAGUCGUCAUCAGAGCUGCCCGCCAGUCAACAUUCGUCAUCAGAGCUGCCCGCCAGUCAACAGUCGUCAUCAGAGCUGCCCGCCAGUCAACAGUCGUCAGAGCUGCCCG